rnacentral:rRNA from 1 species
UGGGGAAUAUUGCACAAUGGAGGGAACUCUGAUGCAGCGACGCCGCGUGAACGAAGAAGGCUUUCGAGUCGUAAAGUUCUUUUAUAUGGGAAGAUAAUGACGGUACCAUAAGAAGAAGCCCCGGCUAACUACGUGCCAGCAGCCGCGGUAAUACGUAGGUGGCUAGCGUUGUCCGGAAUCACUGGGCGUAAAGGGUUCGCAGGCGGAAAUGCAAGUCAGGUGUAAAAGGCAGUAGCUUAACUACUGUAAGCAUUUGAAACUGCAUAUCUUGAGAAGAGUAGAGGUAAGUGGAAUUUUUAGUGUAGCUGUGAAAUGCGUAGAUAUUAAAAAGAAUACCGGUGGCGAAGGCGACUUACUGGGCUCAUUCUGACGCUGAGGAACGAAAGCGUGGGUAGCAAACAGG